GUAUGCAGAGGAGUUCUGACUGUGAGAAGGAGGAGGAGAAAUGGAGGUGAAAGAAAAAUGGAGUACAACCUAGUUCAAUUACCAUGGCAACCGCUCUCUAUCCUUCAUCGUAGCGGCGCUCCCGUCAGGAGCCGGGCUUUCCUGCACAGAUUCCCUGGGACGCUACAGUCAAAGGGAAAAGCGUCCUCCAUUACUGGAGUCAGGUUUCUGAAAGCAUUCCGUAGACUUCUACAGUCGUGUAAGCAGGCUCCUCAUGUUCAGUGACAUCAGCCUCCAUGUAUGAUCUCCCAUUUCCUCCAGUUGACUGUUUCCGGUCCUCACUGAGGGUCAGUGAUGCUGCUGGUGGAUCACGGCUUUCAUCGAGGUUUUCAUCGAGUUUGGUUCUUGUUUAAGCGUCUGAUAAAAGGUCCGUGGACUCUCGAUCACUCCAGAAACACGGCAGACACACAGGUUUAGCUUUUUUAUUUCAACAUAGAAAAAAGCAGAGAUCAUCAGGUGAUCUUUAGAGGAAACAUCGGUUUGAGAUUUCAGG